GUGCAAUUAGUUUUUAUUUUCGUCUAUAUUUAAUACUCCAUGCAUACGUUUAAAGAUUCGAUGUGACGGGAAAUGUGAAAAAUUUUGCAAAAUUUUCUGAAAGUAAACAAGACCUAUGUUGACGAGACGACAGAAAUAAUAUAUGGUUAAAUAAUGGCUCCUUUAAUUUUUUUUCCAGUCUCAGGUUAUUAAUUAGAUUAGUGUGGCGAGGUAUAUAUCAUCAUCGAUCCAGACUUGCCUA
rnacentral:lncRNA from 1 species